rnacentral:lncRNA from 1 species
UCAUAUAAAAAAAAAAAACAUUUACUAUCGAGGGUCCAGCUUGAAGUUGUGUAACAAUAAUAAAGGUAAGUGUCCACACGUGUCCACUCUUGCGCAAUUCGCGUUAACUCACAGAGUGACGUCACAGUCUUUAUGACAUUAUAUGUUUGUAUGUUUAUACAGCUGUUAUAGGAUAACAUGAUUGGUAUGCGUGAGGCAAGAGUCACCAUGUUGCAGAACUGUUGUUAAACGAUGACGUACAUAGUGACUCACUGCUGUGUACAUAUUGUGUGUGUUAUAUUUAUGUUUUGAUUUUACAUCGCUGAAAUCACAGUCUAUUGCAGGGGAUAUAUGUUGCUGGGGAGUUUGUUACAUCAUGGUUCCACCACUUCUUCUUCCCUGCUUAAUACAUAGGAGGAAGUGAAAGGUGGGCGAUUUGAGAAUAAGCGAUUGGCAUUUUGACGUUCGUAAUUUUAUACUUCACUUUUAUUUUGUUAAAGAGGAGUGAUGAUUAAAGGCAAACAAUAGAGUGCAGCUAUGUUGGCGUGUACGCUUUUGCUCUAUAUGGCUGAUCUCCUUCGAAAACAGAGACGACAAUGAGUCUAGUUGGCAUCAUAUUACUUGAAAAAAUAAGUGGACAAUGAAAUUACAUAUUAGUGAGAGAGUUGUUGGAUUCUCCGGGUAGGUAACUGGUUUGAGGGGGACAGAUAGGCUGUCGCUCCUUGUAGAACACUGGUACUCGGCUGCAUCCUGUUAGACUGAAAGCCGAACCCAACAUAAUUGAGAAAAGGCUCGGGUGAUGAUAGUAAGAGAGAGGUUAAACUCAGUAACUCUGUUGCUCUGAGGGACAAAGUACAAUUUUGUACAUGAUAUCCAAAGUUCCAAAGUCUAAUGUUAGGAGGAUAUAACAUGCAGUUAUUGCUAUGUCAGCUUAUAUGAACUGCUUCGAUGCGGUUACCUCUCGUCCGAUAACGCUUACAUUACACAAUUCGACCAAAGGUUGUUUGUAACUAAUUGCGUUUAGCGAUAACGUUCUUCGAGUAUGCACUGCGACGUUUAUUACAUUUUUAUUAUUAUUUUCUUUUUUUUUUUAAGCGAUUGCAUUGAAAAAUAUCAUACGAUUUUCUUUGAUAGAUACUAUUAAAAUUACAUAGGUGUAACAAAUCCAUAAAAAUUUAAAGAGUCAAAAAAUUAAGACCGCAUUUUGGAGAAAAGUUUGCUAAGAAAAUUAAUAUUAACUUCAUUCAUUUAUUGGUGGCGAGACGACGGAGAAGAGUAUGAAAAAGAAAAUAUGCUGCACCGACCCCAAAAAAAAUCCGAUAAGGGCUAGCGGAUGAUGAUGAUUCAUUUUUCAAUAUAAAAAUGUGUCCCACCGGCAUUCGGGCACAUGGUCACAUUUACUUAGUUACAGAUCAAAAACUACAAAAUACAUAAAUAUAAAGCAUUUAUUAGAUACUUAUUCUAAUUUAGUUGAUCUUGUAUGUUUUGAAAUGACGUCGAUUAUUUGCUAAACAAUCUCGAAUCCCCCGAAAACUCGAGACGUUGUAUCGACUAUUAGAAAAUGUAAACAAACAUAGUUCAGUUAAUCAUGAAAACUCUAGAUUUCUCAGAAACAUGAAAACUGAUCUGGAAAACUGUUCUGGUUCUAAUAAAUAAAAAUAUAUUUUAUUACUUUUCCGAAAAUGUCUUUCUCUUUUUUUACACAGGUACGUACGUUUUUUUUUCUCCUAUUUUAAUAAUCCCAUGUCCAAACAAGUGUGUAUUUAUAAAAAGCUACUUCUUUCGUACCUUCUGCUAUUAAACAUAUGGUGAAGCUUCUCACCACUUGAUACUGAAUUCAGAGAAGGAUCCCAUAACAUUCGAUCCCUAAUUUAAACAAAGGUAAAAAAUCCCUUACAUUCUCCUCAAACCUUUUACUAAAACUACAAAGCCUAAAUUCCAAUCAUAAGUAUUGAAAAUGAAAAUCAAUUUUCAGCCAAAAAAAGGCUCUAACAAAAUUACAACGCAUUACCCUAAACAAUGUGUCACGUUGUUCACAAACGUGAUAGUGAACCACGAGGCGUACAUUUCAAACGGCCAUCUGCUAAAUAAACCCAAUUAUAUUACUUUAUCUUGUUAGAAAACACUGUAUUGUCAUAUACAGCGUCAUGGAUUGAACAACGUGUUUUGAUAAUGGCUUGGGCAUAGACACGACGCGUGGUCAAAUCAGCUGGCAGGAGGUGGGGCGCGCCGCGCAUGCGCGUCCGACAUGACGCUACCAGACAUAGUGUUGUACCUCACAAACGUUUUUCAAGUAACCGUUACUUCGGUAACGUUGUUCUUGGCUGAGUUACGAAACGGAUGUCUGAUGUCUUCGGUUUUAAAAGACUACACAUGGAAAUAAAUUGCAGUAAAACUUGGGGCUGAAUGAUAAUUUGAACCUGAACUUAUUCAUGGUGUUAGAGCCUUUUCCAUGGUAACGGGCAGUUGAAAUAUAUAAAAGUUAAUGCUUCUGAUAGGCUAUGUAAAAUAGACUGGUAUAUGAAGUAAAUAACUGAAGAAAUUAUCUUAUCUUAAAGUACUUAUGGAUAUCGAAACCUCAUUAACGUACUUCGAUGUCGUCACCAAAUAACGAGAAACGGUUUUGCAGAAUAGCAGUUACAAAGGUGACUGCACAUCACUACACCUGUUAACGCAAAUAUAAUAACGAGGGCACGACAGUGUUCAACGAUCAGUUUGUCUGUUGUGUUCGCGGGGGUUGCACGGCUGGAUAGAGCGCGCCUAGAGGCAGCCCACUGUUUUCGUUUUUUUAUUUGGCUUCUAGCCGUUGUAUGGAGCGUGAAAAACCAUCAUCAGGGUUGUUAGAGAAGCAGCGUGAGGCGCUCGUCAAGAGCGUCGAGGUCGCUACGGAUCGAGGCCGGGAUGAAGG